rnacentral:lncRNA from 1 species
CUGAAAUUCUCUGCAUCAAAAGAGAACUGCGGUGAGUGUGUGUGUGUGUGUCUCUGUGUGUGUGUGUGUGUCUGUGUCUCCCUUGGGAGACCCCAUAGCACAGCCUGCGGGUCACCAGCUACUACCUGCGGUGGGAUCAGGUUCACUGAGAGCAGAGCGCUCGCUGAAGCAGAGGCAGGACUCUGAGUGUCUCCAGUUACUUGGUCCAUCUGCUUUGGGCUCUGGUGGAGGUUUAAUGAUGAAGACCGCAUUUUGCUUUGCAGACGUACACUUGAGUCUUAUUGAGAUGAUUUGCUGCAAAGAAACUCUGGCUACUGCUCAGGUGAAACGGCUUUCUUCCCAUACGGUUUCACUUUACUGGAGGCCUCAUCGUAUGAAGAUAUAAUUCUAAAUAUUUGGACCAGACUUUCUUGCGCCCCUGCCUCUGAGGAACUGAGUGCUGGCAUAGUUCCACUGAAAAAAAAAACACCCAUUUACAAGAGAGGAUAUCAGAAAUAUACAUCCUUUCAUCCGUGCCCCACAGGCUACAUGGAAAGAGAGAGCACCAGCUGUUUUUCUCAUGGUGAAUAAGGGUUACUUGGGGAAAUCUCUCUUCCUGUUUUUAUAUGGAGAACUAAAUUGUUGCAUAGCCAGUUAAUUUUGGUUAGGUCAACAGCAAAAGGUUAAUUAUUGGAACCUUCCUCUUUUGCCUGUGUGAGAUUAAUAGGAACCAAAAGAAAAAAGUGAAAUAUAGUGACUUAGUCUAGAAGGGCUGUUGAUUUGGGAUGUUUUUAUUUUGUUUUUAUUAUAUUUGGGGAGAUUUUACAAUUACUCAUCCUUGUCUUCUAGGAAAUAGUGUAAGAAGAGUUUGGAAGCAUGUGUGAUGUGAAUCUCAUCAGAUUCAGAAAGAAGUUUAUAAUAAGUUAGCAUUGAGAAGAAAAUAAAUUGCUUUUAUUGUAUAAGGGAACCAUGUUAUAAAAGCUAAAACCAUUGAGUAACGUAUGUGAUAACUUUGAAAUAAUGUUUUCCAACUCUGAUACCCUUCAAUUUGGCUAGAAUAAUGUUAUACCUUUUUAAAGUUUAUAUUAUGAUGUUCCAUUCUCUUUCUGACCUUGGGUUAAUUAACCCAUCAAAAGUCAUAUGGACUGAUUUCCUUCAAUGUACUAUAAUGUAUUUUUAUCCAUCUGCAUGCUAUUAUGUAACCUCAGAAUAAAGAAGCCAUAUCGCUGUUGAUAUAUUCCACUUCUGUCUUUGGAUUUGGUCAGCAUUACAUAUGGAAGGAGUAACCCACCCUGUAUUGUUAUAAGGAUGGUUUUUCAUUCAUAUCCUUGUUGCUCUUAAUAAAUGUCCUGAA